UACGAAGGGGGCUAGCGUUGCUCGGAAUCACUGGGCGUAAAGCGCACGUAGGCGGAUUGUUAAGUCGGGGGUGAAAUCCUGGAGCUCAACUCCAGAACUGCCUUCGAUACUGGCGAUCUUGAGUCCGGGAGAGGUGAGUGGGAACUCCGAGUGUAGAGGUGAAAUUCGUAGAUAUUCGGAAGAACACCAGUGGCGAAGGCGACUAACUGGACAUGUAUUGACGCUGAGGUGCGAAAGCGUGGGGAGCAAACAGG
rnacentral:rRNA from 1 species